AAUAGCACAUGUCCUGAGAGGAAGCCAAGGCCCAAAAGUGUUUGUUUCUUUGUCCUUGUCCACAGUCACUUUGGAAACUUUAUCCUGCAGGUUCCACCUCUCCCCAAAGUAUAAACCUAAACCACUCUGUCUGGACUUUCCAAAUCAGCAAGAGAGAAGGACUCUACAUGUUCAGAAUCCCUGCCUUGCCCUGAGGAGAGGUAGCUCUACAGAAGAAUCUCCAUUGUUGCUCAAGCAGGAAACAUCCUGAUGUUCAACAGAAGGUGGCUGUGGAGAUUCUCUUGGGAGAAAGUGACCAACAAGCACAGGAUAGGACUCUGGGAGGACAAAGCAGUAAGCUGCAGGCUCAACUGAGAAAGAAUAUUGACCUUCAUGUCUUCUUCCACCAGGUUUUGCAACUCAAGACAUUCUUUCUUUCUAUGAAUUUUAAGCUUUUGGAUAUGCUUUUUGUUUUAUUACCUGGGAGACCAGAUUGCUUUAUGAAUUUUAAGAAUAUGACAGUACUAACACUUGAGCAAAGUUAUGCUGUGAAAAAAAAUCAAACUCCUUUAA